AUUGAACGCUGGCGGCAGGCUUAACACAUGCAAGUCGAACGAGUGGCGGACGGGUGAGUAAUGCUUGGGAAUCUCGCUUAUGGAAGGGGAUAACUAUGGGAAACUGUAGCUAAAUCCGCGUACACUAGGUUUGGCCCACGUGGGAUGAGGGGGUUGGUGGGGUAAAGGCUCACCAAGCCGACGAGCUCUAGCUGGGCUGAGAGGAUGACCAGCCACACUGGGACUGAGACACGGCCACGCCCCCUACGGGAGGCGGCAGUGGGAAAUAUUGCGCAAUGGGGGCAACCGGACGCAGCCAUGCCGCGUGAAUGAAAAAGGUCUUCGGGUUUAAAAGUUCUUUCGGUAGCGAGGCGUUACCUACAGAGAAAGCCACGGCUAACUCCGUGCCAGCAGCCGCGGUAAUAC
rnacentral:rRNA from 1 species